GAUGAACGCUGGCGGCGUGCCUAAUACAUGCAAGUCGAGCGAAUGGAUUAAGAGCUUGCUCUUAUGAAGUUAGCGGCGGACGGGUGAGUAACACGUGGGUAACCUGCCCAUAAGACUGGGAUAACUCCGGGAAGCCGGGGCUAAUACCGGAUAACAUUUUGAACCGCAUGGUUCGAAAUUGAAAGGCGGCUUCGGCUGUCACUUAUGGAUGGACCCGCGUCGCAUUAGCUAGUUGGUGAGGUAACGGCUCACCAAGGCAACGAUGCGUAGCCGACCGGGGAGGGUGAUCAGCCACACUGGGACUGAGACACGGACCAGACUGCUACGGGAGGCAGCAGUAGGGAAUCUUCCGCAAUGGACGAAAGUCUGACGGAGCAACGCCGCGUGAGUGAUGAAGGCUUUCGGGUCGUAAAACUCUGUUGUUAGGGAAGAACAAGUGCUAGUUGAAUAAGCUGGCACCUUGACGGUACCUAACCAGAAAGCCACGGCUAACUACGUGCCAGCCGCCGCGGUAA
rnacentral:rRNA from 1 species